rnacentral:rRNA from 1 species
CCCGCACAAGCGGUGGAGCAUGUGGUUUAAUUCGAUGCAACGCGAAGAACCUUUACCUGGUCUUGACAUCCACAGAACUUUCCAGAGAUGGAUUGGUGCCUUCGGGAACUGUGAGACAGGUGCUGCAUGGCUGUCGUCAGCUCGUGUUGUGAAAUGUUGGGUUAAGUCCCGCAACGAGCGCAACCCUUAUCCUUUGUUGCCAGCGGUCCGGCCGGGAACUCAAAGGAGACUGCCAGUGAUAAACUGGAGGAAGGUGGGAUGACGUCAAGUCAUCAUGGCCCUUACGACCAGGGCUACACACGUGCUACAAUGGCGCAUACAAAGAGAAGCGACCUCGCGAGAGCAAGCGGACCUCAUAAAGUGCGUCGUAGUCCGGAUUGGAGUCUGCAACUCGACUCCAUGAAGUCGGAAUCGCUAGUAAUCGUGGAUCAGAAUGCCACGGUGAAUACGUUCCCGGGCCUU